UACGUAGGGUGCGAGCGUUGUCCGGAAUCAUUGGGCGUAAAGAGUUCGUAGGCGGACCUGUAAGUCAGAUGUUAAAGGCGUGUGCUCAACGCACGUAUGGCAUUUGAUACUGUAGGACUAGAAUUCGGUAGAGGUAAAGGGAAUUCCCGGUGUAGCGGUGAAAUGCGUAGAUAUCGGGAGGAACAUCGGAGGCGUAAGCGCUUUACUGGGCCGAUAUUGACGCUGAGGAACGAAAGCCGGGGUAGCAAAU
rnacentral:rRNA from 1 species